rfam:Parastrongyloides trichosuri strain KNP genome assembly, scaffold: PTRK_scaffold0000122
AGGAUGUUAGUUUAAUUUUAAAACGUUGGACUGUAAAUCCAAAAAUUUUACGUCUUG